GAUGAACGCUGGCGGCGUGCCUAAUACAUGCAAGUCGAGCGAACAGAUGAGGAGCUUGCUCCUCUGACGUUAGCGGCGGACGGGUGAGUAACACGUGGAUAACCUACCUAUAAGACUGGGAUAACUCCGGGAAACCGGAGCUAAUACCGGAUAAUAUAUUUAACCGCAUGGUUCAAUAGUGAAAGACGGUUUUGCUGUCACUUAUAGAUGGAUCCGCGCCGCAUUAGCUAGUUGGUAAGGUAACGGCUUACCAAGGCAACGAUGCGUAGCCGACCUGAGAGGGUGAUCGGCCACACUGGAACUGAGACACGGUCCAGACUCCUACGGGAGGCAGCAGUAGGGAAUCUUCCGCGAUGGGCGAAAGCCUGACGGAGCAACGCCGCGUGAGUGAUGAAGGUCUUCGGAUCGUAAAACUCUGUUAUUAGGGAAGAACAAAUGUGUAAGUAACUAUGCACGUCUUGACGGUACCUAAUCAGAAAGCCACGGCUAACUACGUG
rnacentral:rRNA from 1 species